ACGAACGCUGGCGGCAUGCCUAACACAUGCCAGUCGAACGAUCCCUUCGGGGAUAGUGGCGCACGGGUGCGUAACGCGUGGGAACCUGCCCUUAGGUUCGGAAUAACUCAGAGAAAUUUGAGCUAAUACCGGAUAAUGUCUUCGGACCAAAGAUUUAUCGCCUUUGGAUGGGCCCGCGUUGGAUUAGCUAGUUGGUGGGGUAAAGGCCUACCAAGGCGACGAUCCAUAGCUGGUCUGAGAGGAUGAUCAGCCACACUGGGACUGAGACACGGCCCAGACUCCUACGGGAGGCAGCAGUGGGGAAUAUUGGACAAUGGGCGAAAGCCUGAUCCAGCAAUGCCGCGUGAGUGAUGAAGGCCUUAGGGUUGUAAAGCUCUUUUACCCGGGAUGAUAAUGACAGUACCGGGAGAAUAAGCCCCGGCUAACUCCGUG
rnacentral:rRNA from 1 species